rnacentral:rRNA from 1 species
GAUGAACGCUGGCGGCGUGCUUAACACAUGCAAGUCGAACGGGAUCCAGGCAGCUUGCUGCCUGGUGAGAGUGGCGAACGGGUGAGUAAUGCGUGACCGACCUGCCCCAUACACCGGAAUAGCUCCUGGAAACGGGUGGUAAUGCCGGAUGCUCCGACUCCUCGCAUGGGGUGUCGGGAAAGAUUAUAUCGGUAUGGGAUGGGGUCGCGUCCUAUCAGGUAGUCGGCGGGGUAACGGCCCACCGAGCCUACGACGGGUAGCCGGCCUGAGAGGGCGACCGGCCACAUUGGGACUGAGAUACGGCCCAGACUCCUACGGGAGGCAGCAGUGGGGAAUAUUGCACAAUGGGCGCAAGCCUGAUGCAGCGACGCCGCGUGCGGGAUGACGGCCUUCGGGUUGUAAACCGCUUUUGAUCGGGAGCAAGC